UACAGAGGUCCCGAGCGUUGUUCGGAUUCACUGGGCGUAAAGGGUGCGUAGGUGGCCUGAAAAGUUUGAUGUGAAAGCUCAGGGCUUAACCCUGAAAUGGCAUUGAAUACUGUCGGGCUGGAGGUUUGGAGGGGGGGGGACUGGAAUUCUUGGUGUAGCAGUGAAAUGCGUAGAUAUCAAGAGGAACACCAGUGGCGAAGGCGAGUCCCUGGACAACACCUGACACUGAGGCACGAAAGCUAGGGGAGCAAACAGG
rnacentral:rRNA from 1 species